UAUUCUCGUUCUUUAUUCUUCUGCUCUUCUAUUUUUUCUUCUGAGAGUACUAAGGAAGUUGUUUAGAAGACGAAGGGGAUGGUGUUGCUGUUAAUUAUGGUGGAUAAGAAUUAAGGGUUACUAGGAUUCCGAUUCACAAAGGGAGAAGUAAAGAUAGGGUUUCUGAAGUUAGGAUUCAUGAAGAAAUGAUGAUGAUAUCGAGUUGAUGAUAGAUGAAUAAGAAGAGGGUUUUUUAUUUUGAGAUGUUUUACUGGAGAAUCAAAGGGUAGUGUUUCUGCAAAUUGAAUUGAAAUUCAAUUUAAGGUUUCAUGAGAUUAACCUCAGAGAAGAUGGAAUUGAUGUUCAAGAGGGAUGGUUGAAGAUGGGUAUUGUGUUAAUUUAACAAUUGAGGUGAUGAAUUGAUAAAUCAGAGAUUUAGGGUUUGUGUUUGUUCUUCCCCAAAUUAAGAAUUAGGGUUUGUUGAUCGAUUGAAGCUGAACGAGAUGGGUUUCAAGUUCUAAUGGAUAUUAGCUGAGACGAACUGAAGGGGUUGCUGGUGUUCUUGAAAUAGAUGAAUCAAUUUAGAGGUAAUUGUUGUUACUCAAUUUCUUAGAUUGAGUUUAUAUAACUGUGAAUGGAAUUGAAAUGGUAUGAUAAUUAUGGAAUAGAAGUACAGUUGAGGAGUAUAUGCUUGAGAUGUAGAAGUUGGUGUUGUGUGAUUGAAAGAUGAAGUAAAUGGUUUUGUUAUGAACUGAAAUAGAAGUGGUGGAGUUAUUAUGUUACAAGUGCAAAAAGAUCAAGAUGGAGCUAGUGUUAAAGUUGAUCCUAGUCUUAUGAAUGGGUAUUGUGAACUGUUGGUAUUGAAGUUGAUUGAGAUAAACUGAGAGUGGUGGUUAUUUGCGUCUGAGAUUUGGUGGAAGUGGAAUCGAGUAUUUGGUGAUGCUGUAUUGAGGUGCAGAUGUUAAGAGUGUAGUUGUGCUGAUUAUUGCAGAACUGGUAUGGGGUUACAGUUCAAGGGAUGUUGGUAGUAUUGUGUGUUCAAGGUGGUUGUGUGUUGUUCAAGAUGAGAUGUUAAAUCUCAGAUGUGGAAGGUGAAUCAAAUAAUGGUGGUUUGGGUCUUAACAGAGGUUGGACCGCAAACAUGGUGAGAUUGUUAAUCAGUUGAGGGGAUUGGUAUAGUGAAGAUAUGUUAGAGUUGCGUAUGAAUGAAUGUGCAAUGGUGAAACUGAGUUGUUGUAAGAAGUUGAUAUGUGUUAGAGAUAGAUGUGUGGUUGAACUGAGUUAACAGUGGUGGUGAGAGGUUGUUGAUAACAUGGGAUGAAGAUAAGAGUAUGUUAUGGGUAGCUUAUGUUGCUGGUAAGCUGUUAGUGCAGAAGGAGGUUGCAGUUUGUGAUUAAAAAUGGAAGUUGCAGAUUAGGUGAUGGUGUUGAUGUUACAGAGGAUGAGUUGUGUGAACUCAGAAAGAAUGGGUUUUGUUGUUGAGGUUGUAAUUGAGAAGUUCUAGAGUCUCAGUUGCAAUUCAGUGGAGUUGGUGGUUAUAGACCUGGUGUCGUUGUGCCUAAGUGAAUUAGUAUUAGCUGGAUGUAGAAAGAAUGUGGAGCAGCUACUGCAUUUGCAGUUAGUCUAUUAACAACGAUCGAUUCAAAGGAUGAACCAGUGGAUCAUGGAUCUCGAGGUAGGCGUGGCUUGUCAUCAAAAGAGUUUCAGAGGCAGAUCAGAGUUGUGCAGCAAAAGUUUCGAGGAGUUGAGUCCGUUUGGUAGAUUACUUCGGAUAGGUUUAUUAUGUUGCAUAUUAUAUUUGAAAACUAAAUGACUCUUGUAUAUGUAUCAUUUGAAAGGAGUUCUUGUAUAUAUAUAUAUCUGAGUGGGGUUAAGUUUGGAUUAAUUAUUGUACCAGAUUUCUUAAUUGAGUGUAUAUGUAAUUGAUUUAGAUU